rnacentral:rRNA from 1 species
CUACGGGAGGCAGCAGUGGGGAAUAUUGGACAAUGGGCGCAAGCCUGAUCUAGCCAUGCCGCGUGAGUGACGAAGGCCCUAGGGUCGUAAAGCUCUUUCAACGGUGAAGAUAAUGACGGUAGCCGUAGAAGAAACCCCGGCUAACUCCGUGCCAGCAGCCGCGGUAAUACGGAGGGGGUUAGCGUUGUUCGGAAUUACUGGGCGUAAAGCGCGCGUAGGCGGAUUGGAAAGUUGGGGGUGAAAUCCCGGGGCUCAACCCCGGAACUGCCUUCAAAACUACCAGUCUAGAGUUCGAGAGAGGUGAGCGGAAUUCCGAGUGUAGAGGUGAAAUUCGUAGAUAUUCGGAGGAACACCAGUGGCGAAGGCGGCUCACUGGCUCGAUACUGACGCUGAGGUGCGAAAGUGUGGGGAGCAAACAGGAUUAGAAACCCUGGUAGUCC